rnacentral:rRNA from 1 species
GACGAACGCUGGCGGCGUGCCUAAUACAUGCAAGUUGAGCGCUGAAGGUUGGUACUUGUACCAACUGGAUGAGCAGCGCACGGGUGAGUAACGCGUGGGGAAUCUGCCUUUGAGCGGGGGACAACAUUUGGAAACGAAUGCUAAUACCGCAUAAAAACUUUAAACACAAGUUUUAAGUUUGAAAGAUGCAAUUGCAUCACUCAAAGAUGAUCCCGCGUUGUAUUAGCUAGUUGGUGAGGUAAAGGCUCACCAAGGCGAUGAUACAUAGCCGACCUGAGAGGGUGAGCGGCCACAUUGGGACUGAGACACGGCCCAAACUGCUACGGGAGGCAGCAGUAGGGAAUCUUCGGCAAUGGACGAAAGUCUGACCGAGAAACGCCGCGUGAGUGAAGAAGGUUGUCGGAUCGUAAAACUCGGUUGGUAGAGAAGAACGUUGGUGAGAGUGGAAAGCUCAUCAAGUGACGGUAACUACCCAGAAAGGGACGGCUAACUACGUG